CCUACGGGCGGCUGCAGUGGGGAAUAUUGCGCAAUGGGGGAAACCCUGACGCAGCAACGCCGCGUGGGUGAUGAAGGUUUUCGGAUUGUAAAGCCCUGUCUUUGGGGACGAUAAUGACGGUACCCAAGGAGGAAGCCACGGCUAACUACGUGCCAGCAGCCGCGGUAAUACGUAGGUGGCAAGCGUUGUCCGGAAUUACUGGGCGUAAAGAGUAUGUAGGCGGAUAUUUAAGUCAGAUGUGAAAUCCCCGGGCUUAACCUGGGAGCUGCAUUUGAUACUGAAUAUCUAGAGUGCAGGAGAGGAAAGUGGAAUUCCUAGUGUAGCGGUGAAAUGCGUAGAGAUUAGGAAGAACACCAGUGGCGAAGGCGACUUUCUGGACUGUAACUGACGCUGAGAUACGAAAGCGUGGGGAGCGAACAGGCUUAGAUACCCCUGUAGUC
rnacentral:rRNA from 1 species